UACAGAGGGGGCAAGCGUUGUUCGGAAUUACUGGGCGUAAAGGGCGCGUAGGCGGCCUUCUAAGUCGAACGUGAAAUCCCUCGGGCUCAACCCAGGAACUGCGUCCGAUACUGAAAGGCUUGAAUCCGGGAGAGGGAUGCGGAAUUCCAGGUGUAGCGGUGAAAUGCGUAGAUAUCUGGAGGAACACCGGUGGCGAAGGCGGCAUCCUGGACCGGUAUUGACGCUGAGGCGCGAAAGCCAGGGGAGCAAACGGG
rnacentral:rRNA from 1 species